UUACACACAGUGUCUUUUUGAUACAGAACUCUUGCUUUGGUUUGGCCUAGAGAUAGGUUGGGCCAGAGGUUUAACAAAACACAAUUUAAUUAUUUUUACAGUUAGUCAAAUUUUGAAUUAAUCUUCAAAACUUUCAACAACGGAUCUCUUGGUUCUCGCAUCGAUGAAGAACGCAGCGAAAUGCGAUAAGUAAUAUGAAUUGCAGAUUUUCGUGAAUCAUCGAAUCUUUGAACGCACAUUGCGCCCUCUGGUAUUCCAGAGGGCAUGCCUGUUUGAGCGUCAUUUCUCUCUCAAACCCCCGGGUUUGGUAUUGAGUGAUACUCUUAGUCGGACUAGGCGUUUGCUUGAAAAGUAUUGGCAUGGGUAGUACUGGAUAGUGCUGUCGACCUCUCAAUGUAUUAGGUUUAUCCAACUCGUUGAAUGGUGUGGCGGGAUAUUUCUGGUAUUGUUGGCCCGGCCUUACAACAACCAAACAAGUUUGACCUCAAAUCAGGUAGGAAUACCCGCUGAACUUAAGCAUAUCAAU
rnacentral:rRNA from 1 species